UACGUAGGGUGCGAGCGUUGUCCGGAAUUAUUGGGCGUAAAGGGCUCGUAGGCGGUCUGUCGCGUCGGGAGUGAAAACUCAGGGCUUAACCCUGAGCCUGCUUCCGAUACGGGCAGACUAGAGGUAUGCAGGGGAGAACGGAAUUCCUGGUGUAGCGGUGGAAUGCGCAGAUGUCAGGAGGAACACCGGUGGCGAAGGCGGUUCUCUGGGCAUUACCUGACGCUGAGGAGCGAAAGUGUGGGGAGCGAACAGG
rnacentral:rRNA from 1 species